UACGGAGGGUGCAAGCGUUGUUCGGAAUUAUUGGGCGUAAAGCGCGCGUAGGCGGCUGUUUAAGUCUCACUGUGAAAGCCUGCGGCUCAACCGCAGGAGGCCAGGGGAUACUGGACAGCUGGAGACAGGUAGAGGCGAGCGGAAUUCCGGGUGUAGCGGUGGAAUGCGUAGAGAUCCGGAAGAACACCAGAGGCGAAGGCGGCUCGCUGGACCUGUUCUGACGCUGAGGCGCGAAAGCGUGGGGAGCGAACAGG
rnacentral:misc_RNA from 1 species